rnacentral:sRNA from 1 species
GCUGGGCGUGGUGGCGCACGCCUGUAAUCCCAGCGGCUUGGGAGGCUGAGGCAGGAGGAUCGUGAGUUCAAAGCCAGCCUCAGCAAAAGCGAGGUGCUAAGCAACUCAGUGAGACCCUGUCUCUA